UACAGAGGCCUCAAGCGUUGUUCGGAAUUACUGGGCGUAAAGGGAGUGUAGGUGGCGCUGUAAGUCGGGUGUGAAAUUUCGGAGCUUAACUCCGAAACUGCAUUCGAUACUGCGGUGCUUGAGGACUGGAGAGGAGACUGGAAUUCAUGGUGUAGCAGUGAAAUGCGUAGAGAUCAUGAGGAAGACCAGUGGCGAAGGCGGGUCUCUGGACAGUUCCUGACACUGAGGCACGAAGGCCAGGGGAGCAAACGGG
rnacentral:rRNA from 1 species